rnacentral:rRNA from 1 species
AAUAGAUACCCGGGUAGUCCACGCCGUAAACGAUGAGUGCUAAGUGUUAGAGGGUUUCCGCCCUUUAGUGCUGCAGCUAACGCAUUAAGCACUCCGCCUGGGGAGUACGGUCGCAAGACUGAAACUCAAAGGAAUUGACGGGGGCCCGCACAAGCGGUGGAGCAUGUGGUUUAAUUCGAAGCAACGCGAAGAACCUUACCAGGUCUUGACAUCCUCUGACAACUCUAGAGAUAGAGCGUUCCCCUUCGGGGGACAGAGUGACAGGUGGUGCAUGGUUGUCGUCAGCUCGUGUCGUGAGAUGUUGGGUUAAGUCCCGCAACGAGCGCAACCCUUGAUCUUAGUUGCCAGCAUUUAGUUGGGCACUCUAAGGUGACUGCCGGUGACAAACCGGAGGAAGGUGGGGAUGACGUCAAAUCAUCAUACCCCUUAUGACCUGGGCUACACACGUGCUACAAUGGAUGGUACAAAGGGCUGCAAGACCGCGAGGUCAAGCCAAUCCCAUAAAACCAUUCUCAGUUCGGA